AGUGAACGCUGGCGGUAGGCCUAACACAUGCAAGUCGAACGGCAGCACAGUAAGAGCUUGCUCUUACGGGUGGCGAGUGGCGGACGGGUGAGGAAUACAUCGGAAUCUACUUUUUCGUGGGGGAUAACGUAGGGAAACUUACGCUAAUACCGCAUACGACCUACGGGUGAAAGCAGGGGAUCUUCGGACCUUGCGCGAUUGAAUGAGCCGAUGUCGGAUUAGCUAGUUGGCGGGGUAAAGGCCCACCAAGGCGACGAUCCGUAGCUGGUCUGAGAGGAUGAUCAGCCACACUGGAACUGAGACACGGUCCAGACUCCUACGGGAGGCAGCAGUGGGGAAUAUUGGACAAUGGGCGCAAGCCUGAUCCAGCCAGACCGCGUGGGUGAAGAAGGCCUUCGGGUUGUAAAGCCCUUUUGUUGGGAAAGAAAAGCAGCAGGUUAAUACCCCGCUGUUCUGACGGUACCCAAAGAAUAAGCACCGACUAACUUCGUG
rnacentral:rRNA from 1 species